ensembl:lincRNA
AUUUAAACAAUAAAUACUUUAAUAAAUAGUAACAAAUUCUCUCAUGAAUUAAUUAAUUAAAUAAAUAAAUAAAAUUUAUAUUUAAAAAAGGGUAUUUCACCAUACAGAAACAAUUUUUGUGGGAAAAAUGGAAUCAAGGACAAUUUUAUCAGAAAAAUAUACACAGUAAUAAUAAUAAAAUGGUCAGAUGGAUGAUCUUUGUUUUGUCUGUGUAGGGAUUUUUGCAACUGUGCAGGCAUGUGUGUUUUGUGGAGGUUUUGCUGGAGACCCAGGAGCUGUCGAGUGUGAUCAUCUCUCUCACUCUACUGUGGGAUCAGUGCAGCUCUUCAUGGAGACAGCAGGCGUCUCGAGUCCUCAGAUCAGUGUCUGCGGCACAAGCUCACAACACUGUAUCUGCACUGCAAGCUAGCAACUGCAUGAAGAUCUGCAUCCAGAACAUGCAUAAGAUCAGCGAAGACGUCCCUGCUCAUGUUCUCGCUGAGGUGGCUGUGAGUGUUUUCAGCUUCGUGAAGGACUCCUAUGCUAUCAACCCUGCUCUUUUUGAGGAGUUUGAGAACAACGAUGGCUACGACAUCUUACAGACCAUCAUAUUACGCUGUGAGGAGGAAGUGACAGCGGAGCACUAUCUGGCUGUUCAAGACCUUCUGGGCCUCAUCGGGUCAUUCACACUUUUUGGCAAGACAGAAUUAAAGGUGGCCAUAUGUGUGAGCAACCCCCAACCCUCGAACUUCAGGUUCGACCCCACCCUGACUACCGGUUCAACAGUGAAGAACCUCACAGCUUUUAAAAUCAUCCAAUCCUCAUUUAUGCGCUCAAGCAACACUGUGAUCUGCAGCCAAAUCCUGCGGACCAUCCAGAUGAUCUGGUCUUGGGAAAAGGCAAACUUUUUCCUGUUGGAGUGGACUCUGCAGUCUCUGGCUCAGCUGGCAGAGUGUGUGUGGCAAAAAUCGCCACCCGUUCACCUUAUUUUCUUCGAACUGCUUGAGACGGUGAUUUUCCAGCUUUCCUACAUCCCACACGAGACCCUCAAGAAGGUCCAAGCUAUGGUUAAACAAGGCUCCUCGGGGAUAUUCAAUGUCGCAGCUCUGGAUUGCUUCUAUAGACUCAUUAUGAACAGUGGAUUGCUGUCUGAGGUGCUGAGUGAUGGAGGACUGAUGGAGCAACUGCUGUUUGAGCUUAAAAGAAGGGCCAAGAUAAUCCGAAAGGCUGGUGUUGCUGGUGAGUUUUCAGAUUUACUCUGUUUUAUAAAUUACAAAAACAAGACAGUUUGAAAUCUAGUAGCAUCAUCCUGAUUUUUUGAAAUCUUAUUUACUAACAGUAAAUGAGGACGAAGAGAAGGCUGAUGACUAUCAGAAGAUGUUGACAACCAACAUUUUGAACGUGGUUGCAGCCCUGGCCUUGCAGUCAGUCAGAAACACUGGUUGGUGGAAUAAUUUGUUUUGUAGCAUAUUCUCUUUGCUGGUAUUAAAGAGAUAGUUUAACUACAAAUGAAAGUUUUUCUUGUUCUAAACCAUUAAAUGCCAUAAUAUUAGUUUUUUCCACCAUAGAAGUCAGUGGUUACAGAUUUCUAACAUUCUUCAAAAUAUCUUUUUUUGUAUUCAAUAGGACAAAAAAAUUUAAAUUUGUAUGGAACAAGCAAAGGGGAAGUAAACGAUGACUGAAUUUUU